CAACACAAAAUAAAAACCAUAUUAAAGGCAGGCGAUUCUCAACAAAUCCUGUACACUUGAAAUUGUCAUUGCAAACUAAAGCAAAACAUUGAAUUUACUCCAGAGUCUAAUGCUGCCGAUUACAAUAAGAUGAUGCAUCCAUUAAAAAAGUAAAAUUAAGUUAAAAAUUAAAUUUAUAGUGAAAUGUAUAGUGAUAGUGAUCAAUAAAACAUUUUUAUAACGUUUAAACUUAAUAA